AUGGGGGGUGCCGAGGAAGGCACUUCUCUGGGUCUCAGUUACCAUCUCUGUAUAAAAAGGCAGAGCAAAUCUGAUGAAACUCAGCCUGGACAUAAUGUUGGCCAGCAGCCGGGAAAGACAGACCCACUGAUUUCCCCCACGGGUACAGCUGGGAUUGAUGGAAGUGACCAAGUAAAUAAGGUGAGUUUUCUGGCCUCUCAUCCAUCUCAGAGCAUUCCUAUGUGCGAGAGUAGUGUUUUCAGAUCACUUUACGGGUCCAUUUUACAGAUUGAACAACUAAAUCUCAGAUAAAUUACUGAGUAGAAAACUGAUUUGGAGGAAAUUGACAUGAAACAAAAGGGGCAGCUAUUCUCUUUGACGUUUUGGAAAUGUGUGAAAAUGCUGUACUGGGAACUGGGAUGCCAAAUUUGAUUUUAGAUGUAAAGCUCACAUGUCAUUCAAGAUUACUUUUCCUCAGGACCCACUGGGGGCAGAACUAGAGCAUGAGGAGACAGCAGAAAGGACAAGAAAGGAAUCUUCUUAUCCAAUAAUGGAAAAGUAUUUUCAGUUCUGACUAUGUUUACAGACUGUGUAACUAAGGAUUUGUGCCGAAAAUGGGAGGUGUUUUCAGUAUAAAAAUGAUCUGGCAACUUUUGAAGUAAAUUCUGUAAGAGAACCAGAGCUGUCUGAACAUAACUGAGGAAUUGAGAAGAUGUCAAAGGAAAAUAAUGAUGAUAAUGGUGAUAAUUACUAUCUUUCUGGGGGCCAGUUACCAUAAUCGGCAUAUUAAAUUUAAAUAUAGUUUUGCUUCUCCAAAACUUGGAGGUAGGUAUUUUCAUUACCAUGUUUCAGAUGAGGAAAUUGAACUUCAGAGAGGUGAAGUAACCUGCCUGAGGUCACACAGCUAGUAAAUGACAGAGCUGCAAUUCAAACCCUGAUUUGUAUGAGUUUAAAGCCCACUCACCUUCUGUUAUGCUACUCAGGCCUUGGAUUAAGUUCCAGGGAUUCAAAGAUGAGUUGAGACACACUCCCUGCCCUCAAGAACCUCUGUGUUUUACAGAAAGAAAGAACUAUUUCAGCUAAAGAGUUCCCUGUUGAAGUGUGAAUCAUCUCCACUGCUCUCUGGUAAAGAAACAAACCUGUGAAUGCAUAGGUUACGCAUGGAUAUCCCUUUGUCUUAGUUCUGAUUUUAUUUUUCUAGCAUCUUCAUGAGGCGUCCCAGGGCACUUUCCCUAAACCCCAAAGGAACAGAAUUCCCACCUGUGUCUGUGCCAUGCCUGGGACCUGAACUCUGGGUGAGCAGUCCUCUUUG
rnacentral:lncRNA from 13 species